GUCUUGGAUUUCCUUAAUGUUUAGGGUUUUCCAUUUUCCUAACCUGCUUGACGGCGUUCGGAAUACUGGUAUAUACGAUGCUUUCGAGAUUGAAUGUAUAUAUUGGUUCUUCAUACCUCUAAUCGAAAUCAAGAACGGAAAUCUAUUAUGCUAUUUCUUUAAAAAAGUUUCUGGGUUUGCAAUGAUUACUUGCAGUAUAAUUGUGCGUCUGUGUUUUGUAUUGUGCCAUUUGAUUGUUGGUAGAUUUUGAAGUUGCAAUUGAAUUCAUUUUAUCUUGGUAAACAAUGAAAUUCCGUAUUUGCAGCAUUGAAUUCCAGGGGAUAUGUCUCUGAUAAGUUUAGGUAUUAAGAAUGAGUAAAAUAUUGAACUAGGAAUGCUGAUUAUUCAAUAACAUUCAUAAUUAUGGGUCUCUGGGCACCUGGUUGUAGUAGAUAUGACAUGUUGACUCACCUGCAACUGCUGUUCUUGAUUUUGUAGCUGAAUUGAGGUGGACAACUAUAUAUUUAAGAAAACAGUUAUUCAAGCUGCAUGUUUCUGGCAUCGAUUAGCUUACCAAAAUGGUUAUGGGCUCUGCUAGUGUCUGGGUGCUUUGGUCAGGAGGACAGUGUCCAUAGUCUUGUUUCGUUUAUCCUCUGCAAAUUCAUUAUAAGGUCAAUCUUUUCAAACAUCUAUGCUUGUACAAGUAAAGGUGUGAUUGACAUCAUUCCCAUGUGGUUUCUGUAAUUCUUUUAUGUCCAGGGGCUGAAUGUCCAUGAUCUAGUAUAGAAAAUGGGAGGAAUAUACACUAAACUACUCCGUUUAAACACAACCUCUUUUAGAUUUGCUCAGAAUAAAUCAUAAUUUUGAAUUAUGAAUGCUGAUAAAUGAUUUGCGUGCGCAUUGUUGUGGAAUAUAUGACUUGUAAUAGCAUGUUGUCUAUGUUUAUCUAAAGCUUUGAUUUAUGGGAAAGCCUGGUGAAGUGCGCUUUGGAUGAAACUCGCCUUGUGACCCUAACCGGCAAAGGACCACAUAGAGGUAAACUAGCUUAGGUUGUCCAUAGCUUACUGGUUCAAACCAAGAAGGCCAAUUUGUAGUUCCCAUGGGAAGUUGAAACUUAGAACCUUGUGGUUACCAAACCAACUUACCGACCAACUCGGUUGGGUUGUCCCCAUGUUCAUCUAAAGCUGAAUGCAGAUUUCAUGUGCUGAAAUGUGAUUUGUGCAUAACAGUCUAAUGGAUUUAGUGAUUCCCACAUGUGUAAGUUCAGUAAAAGCAUUUGGUGUACUUAUAAAUCUGUGCUUAUUAUUUUAACAUUUGACAAAAAAUUGUGAAGUCUCACAAACGCAAGAGUUCUGGCCUUUUCUUCUCUAUUUUUACCCAUCUGUUCUGGCCUGUGGAAGAAUCCAUAAGGCAUGACACAAUUUAAUACUGCUAGAGCACAACUUCCCACAACUCCACUCCCCCUCCUCUUGCCCAUAAGUUGAACUUUGUAAUUGUUUGAAGUUUACUGGGAGUAAUGGUGGUGAUGAUGCAUUGAUGCUCCUGUCAUUGUGAUCAAGAAAGUGAGGCAUGAUGCUAGUGAACCUGCUGCCAGUGAAAUUGUUUUUUUUUUUGUUUUUUUUUUUUUGUUUUUGUUUUUUUUUGUUUUGUUCAUGUUCUUGUUCUUUAAUGUAUGUUGCAGUAAGUGUUAAGGAAGUAUCUUUGAUAAAUCAAUAGUUUGUUAAUGUUUGCAGAAGAAAUGAAGUAUUUUGGCCACUGUAUCCAUGUUCUUCUACAUUCAAGAGUUGCAGAAACAAGUGGAGAGACUAAGGACUUGUUGGCAAGAAAGUUCAUUAGCUGAGUUUAACAUGAGAACAAGAAUUGGAAGUCAGAGGCCCAUACCAGCUGUUUCAGUGAAUCAAAAAUGAUGACAGAUGAUGGCCAUUGAACUGGGAUCCUGAAUUCAUGCCAAAUAUGAGAUGAUGGAGAAAGCUUAUGCAAAGAGAUUGGUGUCUCCAUACUUUUCUCUUCCCUUUAAGCAAAUGUUAAUUAGUUGAACUAUAUU